UCGGGAAUAUUGCGCAAUGGAGGAAACUCUGACGCAGUGACGCCGCGUGCAGGAAGAAGGUUUUCGGAUUGUAAACUGCUUUAGACAGGGAAGAAAAAUGACAGUACCUGUAGAAUAAGCUCCGGCUAACUACGUGCCAGCAGCCGCGGUAAUACGUAGGGAGCGAGCGUUAUCCGGAUUUAUUGGGUGUAAAGGGUGCGUAGACGGGAAGAUAAGUUAGUUGUGAAAUCCCUCGGCUCAACUGAGGAACUGCAACUAAAACUGUCAUUCUUGAGUACUGGAGAGGAAAGUGGAAUUCCUAGUGUAGCGGUGAAAUGCGUAGAUAUUAGGAGGAACACCAGUGGCGAAGGCGACUUUCUGGACAGAAACUGACGUUGAGGCACGAAAGUGUGGGGAGCAAACAGGAUUAGAUACC
rnacentral:rRNA from 1 species